CUACGGGAGGCAGCAGUGAGGAAUUUUGCGCAAUGGGGGGAACCCUGACGCAGCAACGCCGUGUGAGUGAAGAAGGCCUUUGGGUCGUAAAGCUCUGUCAACUGGGAAGAAGUUACUGUGCUUUAAUAGAGUGCAGUAUUGACGGUACCAGUGGAGGAAGCGUCGGCUAACUCCGUGCCAGCAGCCGCGGUAACACGGGGGACGCAAGCGUUAUUCGGAAUUAUUGGGCGUAAAGGGCGCGUAGGCGGUCUUGUCGGUCAGGUGUGAAAGCCCGGGGCCCAACCCCGGACGUGCACUUGAACAGCAAGACUUGAGUACGGGAGAGGAAAGCGGAACUCCUGGUGUAGAGGUGAAAUUCGUAGAUAUCAGGAGGAACACCGAUGGCGAAGGCAGCUUUCUGGACCGAAACUGACGCUGAGGCGCGAAGGCGUGGGUAGCGAACGGGAUUAGAUACCCCCGUAGUC
rnacentral:rRNA from 1 species